CGGCGGACGGGUGAGUAACGCGUGGGUAACCUGCCUCAUACAGGGGGAUAACAGUUAGAAAUGACUGCUAAUACCGCAUAAGACCACGGUACCGCAUGGUACAGUGGUAAAAACUCCGGUGGUAUGAGAUGGACCCGCGUCUGAUUAGGUAGUUGGUGGGGUAACGGCCUACCAAGCCGACGAUCUCUAGCUGGUCUGAGAGGAUGACCAGCCACACUGGGACUGAGACACGGCCCAG
rnacentral:rRNA from 1 species